rnacentral:rRNA from 1 species
AACGAACGCUGGCGGCAGGCUUAACACAUGCAAGUCGAACGGGUGUAGCAAUACACCAGUGGCAGACGGGUGAGUAACACGUGGGAACCUUCCUCAUAGUACGGAACAACUCAGGGAAACUUGUGCUAAUACCGUAUACGUCCGAGAGGAGAAAGAUUUAUCGCUAUGAGACGGGCCCGCGUCGGAUUAGGUAGUUGGUGGGGUAACAGCCUACCAAGCCUACGAUCCGUAGCUGAUCNGAGAGGAUGAUCAGCCACACUGGGACUGAGACACGGCCCAGACUCCUACGGGAGGCAGCAGUGGGGAAUCUUGGACAAUGGGCGCAAGCCUGAUCCAGCCAUGCCGCGUGAGUGAAGAAGGCCUUAGGGUUGUAAAGCUCUUUUGGCAGGGACGAUAAUGACGGUACCUGCAGAAUAA